AAGAAACCUGAGACUAAAGAAAGAAAUCAUUUUUGUGAUUAAGAGAAGGAUUAGGAAACAAAAAACAAUUUAAUUAUUACAGAUAAUAUUGCUAAGUAUUUUCGUUACACAUAUGAAGUACUUCUGCGUGUGAUAUUUCAUUUAAUCCCCUCACAAUAUUCCUGCGUAAUUGGUUAAGUGGAUAUUUCAGACUUUAUUUCAGAAAUAUAGAAACUUAGUGCUUGAUUUGUCUAGUUUCUAAAAUAAGUGGUAGAGUUGAAACAAGAAAAUGUGUGUUUUUUUUCACUAGGUGCUGCUAGACAUCCUUGUGUGAUGUUAAAAGUACAUCUGCCAUAACAUGGCUUUACCACGUAUGCUUGGGGGCAUUUAAUUACUGGGCUAGUCUGGUCUUCUUUUGAAAUACCCCUAGGGGAUAGCGACAUGUAAAAAGUGCAGCACUGAGUGUAUUUCAACUAUUGCAUUUUACUAACCUGAGAUUGUCAGGGUGCUUUUAUUAUAAAAUGGAGAUCAAGUAUGGAAAAAAGGUAUUACUUCUGUUACUACCGCUUUGGUGGUUAUAGAAGGUGAUGAACUGAAACAUCAGGACCUGUGGAUUUUGCAACAGAGACAAGGCCAAACUGGCUCACCUGCAGAAUAAACAAAGGGUAAUGUCUAUAAAGAGAAUUGUGAAUAACGGUGCUUAUCUGUUGUUCCUGUCUACCCAGGAUCUCUUUUCUCAUCUUCUUGGUUGUGAAUACAUUAGGUGGGGUUGACUCAUCUCCCCUUCUCUAUCCAACAUAGAUUGGCAUAUGCUUUGCACUGGGCCAGUGUUCUCCUUGGCUACUUUCUGCCAGAGUACAUGGAAAAAACAGGUAUUGCUCAGUUGUAUAGGGAUCUGGGGUUGCCACUUACCAUUUUAUCCAUGCCAUGGUGGGAGCCUGAUGGAAAACCCAGGACAGGUGGAGCCCUUGGCCCCACUGAUUGAGCCUCCAGAAAAUAGGAUCGCCUGAAUCCUUGGACUUGCCAUUUGGGGUAACAAAUAAAUCCUCAAGCUAGUAUAAGUUGAGAUCUGGUCACUGUAAAUCAGUCAAAUACAAAUGCAGGUAGCUGGUGCAUCAUAAUAAUAACCAACACUUAUUGAAUGUAUGCUAUACUAGUAAGCAUUCUUUAAUCACUUCAUUCUCGCAGCAAUCCUAUGACGUGCAUGUCCAUUACUGUCUCCAUUUCACAGGAAGAAACAGAGACAGACUUGUUAGAUGACUUGUUAAAGAUCAGAGAUAGGAAGAAGCAGAGCUGGGAUUUGAACUCAGGAAGUCUAGCUGUACUCUGUGAACUCUAGUCAUUCUCUAUCUCUCUUUGUGUAUAUCCCCUUGCCAUAUAUGUGUAAAUGCCUUUAUCUUUCUAUAUGUGUAUCUAUAUCUGUCUGUAUGUUAUCUCUCUGAAAUAUGCAAAUUAUUGGCAAGAAUUGAAUUUAUGUUACAAAUUAGAACAUUAAUGUUGGUUCUGUGCAUGGAAAUUAGUAUCUCAAAUUUCAUCCCAGUGUCAUGGACAAGAAUAGAAAUUUCUAUUAGAGCUUAAAAAGAAACUAUAGAUCUAUGAGUGUUUUGAAAAGAGCACAAUAGGAAAAUUAAAAUAAGUAUAAUAUUGAAGCAUCCAUAUUAUAUGACAUUAAGUCUCAGUAAGAGACUGAGUUAGCUGAUCAAAUCUUUUAGCAGUAAAAACAAAACAAAACAGACAAAAAAACAGAGGCAAUCACGUAUAAGCACUAGGGCAUAUUUAAUAUGACUGUUAUUGAGGAGAAGACUGCAGUUGGGAAGAAUCUUUGAACAGAUACUUACUAAAAACUAAAAUAUUUUGUGAGUCAGAACAUUUAGCCAAUCCAGCUACUAAGAUAUUUCAAAGUCGAAUGAGUUAUCACAAAGCUAGAAGACAAAAAACACUGUACUGGGGAAGCUGUCUAAUUUAGUUAAUCCAGUUAACUAACUUAGGCAGUUAGUGAGUCUGGUGCCAAGCUACAUGUCGAAUCGAAAGGGUUAAGUUUUUCACCUUGCAUCACUGAUAUAAGGUGCUCGGAAAAGUAAAUUUUAUUACUAAGAAGUGUCAAGCUCCUAUGUAACUUCCUUUUGCAAGAAAAAAAGCAAGAAAAGUAGGUAAACACUUAAAAAAAUCUGCUCUUAUGCUUUUGGAAAAAAGAAUUUUCUAAGAAUCGUGGUUAUGAUUUAGGACAGAGGUAAGCAAAUGGGCCAAAUCUGGCCCACCACCUGUUCUUGUAAGGCCUGUAUACUUGGAACGAUUUUUAUGUUUAUAAAUGGUUGAUAAAAGUUACAAGAAGAAUAAUAUUGUUACUUGUGAAAAUU
rnacentral:lncRNA from 1 species